rnacentral:lncRNA from 1 species
GCGUCCGGACGCGCGACAGCUUCCACCCGCCUCAGGCAGUAUCAGCCGCGCCGCAGUCGGAGGAAAUAGACGCGGGGCCUGAGGCUCCUGGACUUGAGAGGCUGCAGAAAAGGCCCAGGAGGCUGUUGAUGACAUGAACGACCACCAGGAGAAGCUGGAGCAGGCUGAUGCACAGAAGGGCGGAGAAGAGGGACACGUGCCAGACAACAGCUGCAGAGGGCUCCAGGCAGACGGAGUUCCAGAGCGAACGGUCAUACAGAUAAUUCCUAUCCCAAAAAAUAAGGAGACCAGGGGUCAGGCGAUAAGUAAGGAAAGCCAAACAGGCAACCCCAGUAGAAAACUGGGGUCUCCCCUGACCGGGUCAUGGGACUGGGCUCAUGAGGGUGACCGUUACUGCUCCAUUUGCAAUUUUCUGAGUAUCAGAGGAGCAAGAUGCUAGGAUGUGUGACCCAAAGGAGCUUGUAGUUCGUCUGUGUGUCUUUUUGUCUCUCUCUCUCUCUCUGUCUGAAAAGACCAAGCCCAAGCCUCCACCCAUUUACCUACUAUGCAGGUCUUUGAAUGGGUAACCAUAUUUCCAAGCUUGUGUCUGAUUGAAGGAUGAAACAUCAAACAUGCAAAAAGGACCAUCUUUCAGAGCAACUCCAGAAGUGACAAAGCAAAUCAGGGCUCCAAGUAAAGCCAGGCCACCUGACAACAGAGCAGUAAGCACCUGCGGAGGGAGGAGAAACACUGAGCUAAGACGGGGUCGCAGCUGGGGAGCCUGCGGAGGGAGGAGAAACGCUGAGCUAAGACGGGGUCGCAGCUGGGGAGUCUGUGGGGCGGUCUGCACAGGUCUGACUUCUCUGGUCUCAGUGUUCUUCCGUCCUGUCAUGGGGGAGAAUUCUGUCCAUGGCACCCCCUUUGAAGCAUAACCCAUGGUGGGGAGGCCGUGAGGGGUUUCUAGGAGAGAAAGGACCAAGAAGCAGAAUCGCAGGCCCCGGAUCUCCCUGACCGUGAGUUCGCCUGAGCUGCUCAGCAGCUUGGCAUCACAAACCUUUUGCACAUUACAGCCAUUCAGCCUCUGAGCUAAAGAAGAAGCUACCACAGGCCCACCACUGACUCUUCUAAGGAAAAGCUGCAUUUUCAAAAGUUCCAGGUUCCCAACUCUGAUUCUUCUCUAUUUCAAAUCAAGGAUAAAAAAAAGGAAGGGAGGGAAGGAAGGAAAGAAAGAAGCAGGAAAGAAGGGAAGGAGAGAAGUGGGAGGGAGGGAAAGAAGGGAGAGAAACAGCGAGAGAGAAGCUGCAGCCAAGCUCUGAAAUGACUCCACUUCUGUCGCUGUGUUUCUCCAGCUGAGAGCUUUCUUGGCCAUCAGUCUGUGCUCCCACUGCCCUCCCAGAAAAUAACUGGGUUUCCUUCCUUGACAGGUUUCUAGCCUGCUUCUACAUUGGCUUCUUUCUCGUUCCUUCCUUCCUUCCCUUCCUUCCUUCUUUCUCUCUCUCUCUUUCUUUUUGAGACAGAGUCUCACUCUGUCGCCCAGGCUGGAGUGCAGUGGCACGAUCUCAGCUCACUGCAACCUCUGCCUCUGAGUUCAAGCGAUUCUCCUGCCUCAGCCUCCCAAGUAGCUGGGACUACAAGCAUGCGCCACCACACCCAGCUAAUUUUUGUAUUUUUAGUAGAAAUGGGGUUUCACUGUGUUGGUCAUGCCGGUCUCAAUCUCCUGACCUUGUGAUCCACCUGCUUCAGCCUCCCAAAGUGCUGGGAUUACAGGCAUGAGCCACCGUGCCCGGCCCAUAUUGGAUUCUUUCUUAGGGUUCUAGAUUUUUUUCUCCCUCCCCCAAAAAUGCCUAUUUUAAAAAUGUGAAUAACACCUACAUAGCGUUUUUCUGCAGAGUCAUGGAGUCAUUCUCCCACUGAGGUCAAGCUGGUUUGGAGUUGGGGAGGGAUCAGACAAAGGUGCAUAGUAAGUUUUGACUCUGAGUUAAAGGAGUCAAGAUGAAUCAGUAAGCCUAGGGCAGUGGUUCCCAAAAUGGGGUCCCUGCCCAGCCGCAUCACAUCACCUGAGAACCUGUUAGAAAUGCAAAACUUCCCCGCCAUCCUGAAUCAGAAACUCUGGGGAGGGAGCCCAGCAAUCCGUGUUCCGGCAAAAGCCCUCCAGGUGAUUCUCAUGCACAUUCAAGUGUCAGAACUACGUGCCACGGGGAAAACCAGAAUGAGAACAGACAGUGAAUGAAAUGUGCAAGUGUUUAUAUGAAAGCCUGAAACUGGAAAGAUGAAGCAACUUGCCCAAGAACUUAGCGUUACUGAGGGUCACAGUGAGGACCUGACUUCAGGCCCCAAGACCAAAAUUGCCUCUUUACCGCCCUGCCUCUAGAGUAAUAGAGGUGGAGACAUUCUGGGUGUUAGAAGAGUGGAAUCUGGUGCUUACGCUUCGACAGAGCCCACUCUUACUGAAGCAGCCGUAUCUCCAGCCCAUCAAGGAGAUGAGGAUAGCUGCAGUGAGUACCUGCAGGAGAGAGAAGAAUGUUGAGAUGGGGAAAUCGACUUUGCCGGCUGUUUCUAGGUGCUGCCCACAGCUGUUAGAGUGGCUGGCAGCUCACAUGAACGCAGUCCUGUUGACUCUGACUCUGGGGACCCACAUUUGUAUGACGAGCCUGAUCUAACGCUGUGGAUGUUAACUUUCACACCCGACCUGCCUGGUCCCAAGCUAGGCUUCCUGUCUCUUAGAGCUUCUACAGACCCAAGAUCAGCUUGUUAGAAUAAACUUUUCUGCAAGGAAUCAAAACACUCUUCCCAUGCCACCUUCCUGCUCCCCGCCGGGGUCUCUUUGAGAGUUCACGUUCAGGGAACCCCGGACACUUACCAUGAGGCCUCCUCCCCAGAGCCCAGUUCCCAGCAUGGCAUGCCUGCCAAGGAGGCCCCUCAACAGGUAGGUGACAUCCCAGUUAGGAAGGAGGAGUGCCACGUUGGCCCCAGCAGCAAACAGGGCUGCAGUCCCAAGGCUCAGUCCCAGGAUACGGGAGCAAGUCCGUGAGCUUGCCUGCGUGCAGGGAGAGGACACCAUCCUGGAACAGAUAGAAAGGGAGUCGCAGCAGCUCUGCUGUGGGGGGAUGGGGAAGGGAACUCCAGCAGCAUAUCAUGGGUGAGGGAAACAGACUACAGAAACCGCCACCUUCCAGGGUCAGACCAAUGAGAGCCAAGCAACCUGCUUAAAAACUCUGCUCCUUAGGAAUCUUCCCCAGUGACUAGGAUUUAAUUGUUUCCUUUUCUGCUAACCCCUGUUCACACAUACAUAGUUUGCAUUCCAUCAUAUUUUGUUUAUGCCUCUAUUACAGCCAGUGAUUAUUUCUGACAAAAAGAAAUGUUUAAAGGUGUCUUCAUGAUGUCCAUUGUCUCCACUUCUAUUCAACGUUGUACUGGUCCUGGCCAGUGCAAUACGAAAAUAAAAGGAAGCAAAAGCCACACAGAUAGGAAAGAAAGAAGUAAUAUUGUCGGCCAGGCAUGGUGGCUCAGGCCUGUAAUCCCAGCACUUUGGGAGGCUGAGGCAGGCGGAUCACGAGGUCAGGAGUUCAAGACCAGCCUGGCCAACAUGGUGAAACCCCGUCUCUACUAAAAAUACAAAAAUUAGCUGGGCACGGUGGUGGGUGCCUGUAAUCCCAGCUACUGGGGAGACUGAGGCAGGAGAAUUGCUUGAACCCGGGAGGCAGAGGUUGCAGUGAGCUGAGAUCAUGCCACUGCACUCCAGCCUGGGUGACACAGCAAGACUCCAUCUUAAAAAAAAAAAAAAGUAACAUUGUUAUUAUUCACAGAUAAUGUGAUCACAUUAUGUAGAAAAUCCUAAAGUUUAUUAGAAUUAACAGGUGAGUUUAGCAACGUCAUAGAAUAAAAGAUUAAUAUACAAAAAUUAUAUUGUAUUUCUAUAUACAAGCAAUGACAAAUUGAGGAUUGAAAUUAAAAUAUAUCAUUUACAAUAGCAUAAAAAUAUAAUACAUAUGGAUGAAUUUAACAAAAUAUUUGCAAGACCUAUAUAGUAAGAAUUGCAAAGCAUUGCUGAGAAAAUUAAUGGAGACCUAAAUAAAUGGAGACAUAUACCAUGUUCCUGAACCAGAAGACUCAAAAUAGUUAACAUGUUCUCCCUAAAUUGAUGCAAAGAUUUAAAGCAAUAUCAGUCAAAAUCCUAGGAGAGUUUUGUUAUAGAAAUUGACAAACUGAAUCUAAAUUUAUAUGGAAAUGCAAAGCAAUUGUGAAGAUUAGCCAAAGCAAUUCUGAAAAACAAACAAAGCUGGAGAACUUACGCCAUGUGAUUUCAAGACUUACAAAGCUACAGUAAUUGAAGACACUGAAGCCACGCGUAAGGAAACACAUAUGGACUACUGGAACAGGCUGGAGCUCAGAAACAGACCCGGUCCAGGAAAAAUGAUUUUUUUUUUUUCUUGAGACGGAGUCUCGCUCUGUUGCUCAGGCUGGAGUGCAGUGGCGCGAUCUCA